UACGAAGGGGGCUAGCGUUGCUCGGAAUCACUGGGCGUAAAGCGCGCGUAGGUGGCUUCGUAAGUCCGUUGUGAAAGUCAAAGGCUCAACCUUUGAAAGCCGAUGGAUACUGCGGAGCUAGAGUACGGAAGAGGCGAGUGGAAUUCCUGGUGUAGCGGUGGAAUGCGCAGAUAUCAGGAGGAACACCAAUAGCGAAGGCAGCUCGCUGGGACGUUACUGACACUGAGGCGCGAAAGCGUGGGGAGCGAACAGG
rnacentral:rRNA from 1 species